UCACCACUAUUCUUCGUCUCUCUCAGAGAUGACCCCCAUGGAAACCCUAGCCACCACCCCACCCUCUCUCUUGAAAACUGGCGGCUUGAGGUCCGCCGGCCACUAAAUUAACACCAUCGAACCCCCUUCGCAUCCUGAACCUAAAUACCAUAUUCCCUUGGCUCGAAUCUAGCUGCAUCUUCUCAAAUCUUCAAUUGAAGAUUCGAGCUAAAACUCAAACUAUGCCAAAGCACCCCAAAUCAAUACCAGGCAACCCCGAGACCUCCCUCAUACCAUAAAUCACGGUGUUUCUAUUCGAAUCUGCUCAAAAACAUUAGAAACCCAAAUCGAAUGAAAUAACCCUAAUAACCCAAAAUUGAGGGUCUGCUCAAAAUCAAUAGGAGAUUGGGGUCUAAUAGACCUUAAUCUAGGUGUUCUAAACUGAGAACACCUCGAUUAAGAGUUCGUUCGACCUCAAAAAGGAUUGAAGUCUGGAUU
rnacentral:lncRNA from 1 species